AAAGAAUCCCAGAGCCCGGCCUCCUCUCUUCUUCCUCCCUCUUUCUUUCUCAUUUUACCGAUUUUCUUAGACCCGUGCUCACCGAAAAUUUGAAACGGAGACACUGCCGGAGCUCGAGGUAAGCCCCUCCCCUUCUUUCUCUCCCUCUUCCCUUUCUCCCCUGGCCCAAGGCCUCACCGCCGGCCACCGACUUUGCCGAAAAUCAGUCGCAAAAGAAAUCCCCUAUUUUCUGAAUUUUUCUUUGAUU
rnacentral:lncRNA from 1 species